rnacentral:rRNA from 1 species
GAUGAAUCAAAGAAGGUAAUAAUCCUGUAGUCGAAAAUGUUGUCUCUCUUGAGUGGAUCCUGAGUACGACGGAGCACGUGAAAUUCCGUCGGAAUCUGGGAGGACCAUCUCCUAAGGCUAAAUACUCUCUAGUGACCGAUAGUGAACCAGUACCGUGAGGGAAAGGUGAAAAGCACCCCGGAAGGGGAGUGAAAUAGAACCUGAAACCGUGUGCUUACAAGUAGUCAGAGCCCGUUAAUGGGUGAUGGCGUGCCUUUUGUAGAAUGAACCGGCGAGUUACGAUUUGAUGCAAGGUUAAGCAGUAAAUGUGGAGCCGUAGCGAAAGCGAGUCUGAAUAGGGCGUUUAGUAUUUGGUCGUAGACCCGAAACCAGGUGAUCUACCCUUGGUCAGGUUGAAGUUCAGGUAACACUGAAUGGAGGACCGAACCGACUUACGUUGAAAAGUGAGCGGAUGAACUGAGGGUAGCGGAGAAAUUCCAAUCGAACCUGGAGAUAGCUGGUUCUCUCCGAAAUAGCUUUAGGGCUAGCCUCAAGUGAUGAUUAUUGGAGGUAGAGCACUGUUUGGACGAGGGGCCCCUCUCGGGUUACCGAAUUCAGACAAACUCCGAAUGCCAAUUAAUUUAACUUGGGAGUCAGAACAUGGGUGAUAAGGUCCGUGUUCGAAAGGGAAACAGCCCAGACCACCAGCUAAGGUCCCAAAAUAUAUGUUAAGUGGAAAAGGAUGUGGCGUUGCCCAGACAACUAGGAUGUUGGCUUAGAAGCAGCCAUCAUUUAAAGAGUGCGUAAUAGCUCACUAGUCGAGUGACACUGCGCCGAAAAUGUACCGGGGCUAAACAUAUUACCGAAGCUGUGGAUUGUCCUUUGGACAAUGGUAGGAGAGCGUUCUAAGGGCGUUGAAGCAUGAUCGUAAGGACAUGUGGAGCGCUUAGAAGUGAGAAUGCCGGUGUGAGUAGCGAAAGACGGGUGAGAAUCCCGUCCACCGAUUGACUAAGGUUUCCAGAGGAAGGCUCGUCCGCUCUGGGUUAGUCGGGUCCUAAGCUGAGGCCGACAGGCGUAGGCGAUGGAUAACAGGUUGAUAUUCCUGUACCACCUAUAAUCGUUUUAAUCGAUGGGGGGACGCAGUAGGAUAGGCGAAGCGUGCGAUUGGAUUGCACGUCUAAGCAGUAAGGCUGAGUAUUAGGCAAAUCCGGUACUCGUUAAGGCUGA